rnacentral:rRNA from 1 species
AGCGAACGCUGGCGGCAGGCCUAACACAUGCAAGUCGAGCGGUAACUUUCGGGUGUCAGCGGCGGACGGGUGAGUAACGCGUGGGAACGUGACCACAGGUUCGGAAUAACGAAGGGAAACUUGAGCUAAUACCGGAUACGCCCUUUUGGGUAGAGGCUUGGUGCUGGAGGAUCGGCGCGCGUCUUAUUAGCUAGUUGGUGAGGUAACGGCUCACCAGGGCGACGAGUAGUAGCUGGUCUGAGAGGAUGAUCAGCCACACUGGAACUGAGACACGGCCCAGACUCCUACGGGAGGCAGCAGUGGGGAAUAUUGGACAAUGGGCGAAAGCCUGAUGCAGCCAUGCCGCGUGAGUGAUGAAGGCCUUAGGGUCGUAAAGCGCUUUUAUCCGGGAAGAUUAUGACGGUACCGUAGGAAUAAGCCACGGCUAACUACGUG